GCCAGGGCAGCGCUGCCCUGCCUCCUCCGGCCUGCAGCGCCGAGUUCCCCGGGCCCGCUCGGGCAGGGCUGGCGCGGAGCCGGUGCCGCUGCAGUGGAGCCGCCAUGGCCCGAUGAAAUUCCGCUGCAGCUCGCAUUGAGUGGAGGCUGAGGGUUAUCUUGGAACUUCACAAGCCUCGCUGUGCUCUGCGGGAAAUUGCAGCUUGUGCUCACUGCAGACCCAGAGUAGGUGAGCCAGGAAAGCCUGGCUUGAGCAACCACUUCAGAGGGCAGGACAGGGAGGAAAAGCAAACACUGUAGAGAGGUGGCCUCCCUGGUAAGGCUAGAGCAGGACCGUCCUGCGGACUCUGAGGGAGGGAGAAGGUAAGUGGCUGCUUGGCAGAGGCUGUCUGCGGGAGCGGCAUGUGCCGGGCAGGGUGCGCCCUGCCCGCAGCUCCUGCGGCUCAGCACCAGCCGCUCCGUGGGUUUGUACAACCUGUGCUGUGGUAUGUGCCGAGGCUCAGGGCUGUUUCCCUGCGAGGGAGCAGGGUGCUGCCGCGAAGGAGGCACCGCAACCCGCGCCUUUCGCAACAACUGCGCUCAUCGCUCCAUUCCUCGCUCCCCCCCUCGCUCCUCACCGGGUCAGCCUCUAUGUCGAGAACAAGCGACAAACCGUCCGCACAAAACAGAACACGUUCCCAUGGAGGGGGAGAAAACCAAACAAACCAACAACAAAACCAAAGCUCUUCCGCAGUGCUAGGCUGGCGUUGUAGCGCUGCGAGCCCUGUCGGGGGCUGCGGCGCUCAGAACCGGGGCCGCCCGAGCCGCCGCUCGGUCCCUGCCCGGCCGGGAGCGCCGGGCCCGCGCUGGAGCCAGCCCUGAGCACCCGGCCCGGGUCACGGCGGCUCCCAGUGACCGUCUGCUGGCAAAAUCGGAAGGAACGGUGACGUUGUUCUUAGCUGAACACCAUUAAAAUGCUCCUCUGGUAUCUCUCAAUAGAGGUGAAAAGCAUUUCAGCUUCCUGGAAAUGGCCGAAAGAGGCGACGUGUAGAUCAAAGUACGGCGCAGAGCUGGGCUCGUGUUUGCAGGGGUUUUUGAACUGUAGUGAAAACGUUUCUGCAGCUUGCAUCGUAAUGAGUUAAGUCAGCACGUGAAGCGGCUAAAAAAGGCAUAUUUAAACAGCAUCGGGCUAUUAACUUUCCUGGGAUUUAAGAUUUAUGUUUAAAUAUAUAUUUGGCUGUUAGCAAUACCAGCAUUUAAACCGUAACGUUGAUCUGUUCAACCCUGAAGCAAACCAGCUCUGCCUAACGCAGCUUUGAAGCGACACAGCCAGACCAUAAUACUGUGGGAGCUUAGACAGCUUUGUCUGUACUUGCAUCUCUCUGCAUAUUUUUCCAGCACUCUGAUCUUUGCCUGCGAUUAAUCAUUGUCCAGGACGGCUGUUCCCGGUGGUAGGAUCCAUGAAGUGCUCCAGCUGGGAGAGGUCCUAACGCGUGUGCCUGGCGCUGCGUACGUGCAAACCAGGGCCAGAAAUUGCUGGGGCAGCAGGCGCUGGACAGCGAGCCUGCCGUGCCGCCCCAGUGAGUUGUGUGAGUCCUCAGCACUUCUGGAAGUUGUUUUUGUAAGUCUGAGCCGAAAAUUUCUUUCCGUUUUUUAGAAGUUUCUAAAUGACUAUAAUGUUCAGUGUAGUUUAAAAGUCGCCAAGGCAGUUGAGACCAGUUGUGCUCUCAGAGUGGGUGGUUUCAUGGCUGAACCUCGUAUCUGAAAAGCUAAAUGUUCUGGUACAGCGUGUUUAAAUCCCAGAAAGGUCAAAGCAGACUUUCAUACUUGAGUUAGAUUGACCCUGGUUUGCUGCGUGAGACUCUUUAGAUAAAGAGAUCUUUCAGGGGAAAGGGGGGGGGGAAGAUUUUUUUUUUCUCUGAACAGCUUGUGGUGACUCUGUGCACAUUCUUGAAGCAAAGGAGUUUGUUCUUGCCCACAGCGUCCCUGCCUGGCAUUGUUGAGUGGAAAACUCUUAUGCUAAUUAUAUCACUGUCUGUUAUCAAUAAGAAGUGAUUUAAUUUCUUUGGCAAAGUGUUGCAACAAGAGCAAAUUAGUUUGAGAGGCAAAGUGAAAUAAAAAAUAUGCAGCUGUUCUGCCAAACAAUGAUCCUGACUGUUUACAACAUUUUGGUUUAGACUGCCUUGUACACUGAACCCUUUAUAUUGUAGGUUUUUAAAGUCACAAUCCACUGCUUGUGCAAGGAAACUAGAUUAAUAGAUUAUAAAAGACAAAAGAGACCAAGGUUCAUCUGGUUCAACUUCCUGCAUUAUGCAGGUCUCUUGAUUUUUAUGAAUUUCUGGCUUUUUCUCAUUUGAAAGAAUUUAACUGCAGCAUAGCUGCAUCUUAGAUAAAGAUCAGAUUUUCAUUUUCAAAUGGGCUGUGAAAGGGAGUAAAAUAAGGAUAAAUUGUUUCCAUCAAAAAAAAAUCUACCUGACAGACUAGAAAUCAAAGUACCUUUUUAAACUUGUCUAGUUUCUGCUUUCAGUUUCUGGAUGUGUGUGUCCCUCAGUCUCCUUGGCAGAGGAAUGCUCCAUGACCAGAUUUCCAUCCCCUCAUGGCUGUGUGCAAGCUGAGCAUUUAAACACGCCAUUGCAGGCUGCAGAGCUCCCCCUCGGGUCCAUCUUUACUAAUCCUGUAAUUGUUCCUGCUCCAGUUUGUCACCAUUUUGAUCUGGGCAGAAGGGGACAGAGCCAUCGGCAGUGACCAUGCCCGAGCCAGCAGCCCUCCUGGCUCAGAUGUGUCUGUCAGGCAUCCAGGGAUUACUGCAGCCCAUGUUCAGCUGGUUUCCCAGCAGGGCAGCUAAAAUGCUCUCAGAUCUGCUCCUUCUUGGGAUGACAACCCUGUACUGCAGAAUUGUGCUCUUUGUUUUGCAUGUAUGGCUUUACUCUGGUCCUCUUAGCGUUGUUGCUUGCAAUGGCCUUUUAAAAUUAUUAUUUUUAUUUGAUACUCCCUUCUGAUACUGCUUAGUGUCACCUACAAACUUGGUUGGUUAUGAUUUUAUGUUUUCUUCCAGAUAAACAACCUGUCUGCACUGUGGGUGUUUCCCAGUUCCGGGUGUGUGUACACACACCUCAGCAGUGUCAAUAUUGUGUCAGGAGGAGGUCUGGUUCCACACCAUCCCUUGCCACACCCCAGUUGCAUGGGAAGAAAGCCCAGUUUAGGAGCUGGAAGGGAGCCAGAGGCACACUGCAACACUUGCCUGCCCUGGUGUCUAUUAUGUAGCCAUGAAAUAAUGCAGAGCACAAAACAGGUGGUUGCAGGACCCAUAAAAGAAAGAUCAGAGGUCUGGGGCAGAGUGGUUACAAAGUACAUUUAGAGACCUUCCUGUUAGAUGUUUUUUUUAGACGUGAUGCCUCACUACAUACUCUGUAUCCAGCUCUUCAUUCAAGACCUAAAUACAUUAGGGACUUCUUCCCCCCUGCCAAAUUUGAGAUUGGAGGGAGGAGGGGGGGAAAUUACUUAGAACAACACUGUCGCAUUAGACGGUUUUAUUUUUAGGAAACCAGGCUAAGAAUAUCAAAGGAAUAUUGAGUAGGAAUAUGGACAGGGUAUUUGCCUGUUCAGAUUUUCUUGCCAUGGAAUUUUUCAUUCCUUCCGAAGAACAGCAGAUGAUCUGUCUAGGGAAUUGUCAGCCAAAAUAAGCAACCUGCUGACAGAUUUCACCUGUGUCCCAGCAUGCUCUGAGGAUGCAUGGGAUGUGAGCCUUGAACAAUGACAGGGAAUCACUAGGUUGUGUUGUUUGGCUGCCAGGGUGCAGAGAUGCAUGGUGACACCCAGCAGUGGAACAAACAUUUAAUGUGUUUAAAAUCCAGACAAUUUUUUAUGCAUAUGUUGGCUAUUUGCCAUAGCUGGGGGGGUGGUGGGGGUGGUGGUACUUUUUAAACUGUAUGUGAUCAUAUUAUUUCUGCAAGUAUUAUGACAAAGCCACCUCUGUAAGGUAGGGAGUGAGUGCUUUCAGAGAUCUAAUCUUUCUUGAGCUAUAAAGGAAUAAAGAAGCUGUUUCAACACCUGA